UAAAAAAAUAAUAACUCAACAAAAAACAUUUUAAAAAAAAUUUUUUUUAUAAAAAUAAAAAAUUAAUCUUUUAAUAAGUAUAAUUAUUAGAAAAUUUAUUAUAAGAAGUUAUUUUAAGUACUGAAAAGGAAAUUUGAAAAAUUUAAAUAAAAACUUUAAUAAAAGAAGAUAUUAAUAUACUUACCUUUUGUAUGAUGGUUUAACAACAAAAAUAGAAAAUUUUAUUCAAAACCCGAAACCAAGAGAUCUAAUGAAAUUCCAAUAUAAUGAUUGUAAAAUGUCUUACUGUUACAAAAGUAAACAAAGAAAUUUCAUUAGCCAUUAAAAGUGAAACGAGCUUGGUAAUAGCUGGUUUCCCAUAAAAUGAAUUUUAGUUCAAGCUUAUAAUUAUGAAAUUUUUAAUUUAAAUUCAUAAUAUUAUAGAGCUAAACCAAAAGGGAUAAGCUUUUUGGUUAUAGGAAAAAACCUAAAUUAAAUAGUUUAAAUCAAAAAUAAAAAAAAAGAAUAAUAAAAACUUAGUAGGCCUAGAAGCAGCCACCAAAAAGAAAGCGUUAAAGCAAAGUAAAUUCAUAAACAAUAAUUAAUGAAAAUAAAAAUUUUAACUUUUUUUUUAAUGGGAUAAUAAUUUUUUUAUUAUAAAAUAAUGUUAAAAUUAGUAUUUAAAUAUUAUUAGGUUAAAAAAUUUUAAACUAUUCUAACAAAAGAAAUGGAAGAAUGAAAAUAUUUUUCUCAAGAAAAUAAUUUUUAAUUAUAGUUAAAACCCAAAACCGGAAACCUAAAAUAAAACAAAAUAAAAAGAAGGAACUCGGCAAAUACUAGUUUCGCCUGUUUACCAAAAACAUCGCUCUUUGAAAAAACUUUGAUAAAGAGUACUGCCUGCCCAGUGACAAAAAGUUAAACGGCCGCGGUAUUUUGACCGUGCAAAGGUAGCAUAAUCAUUUGUUCUUUAAUUGAGGACUAGAAUGAAAGGCAAGACGAAAACUUAACUGUCUCCUUUUUAAAAAAAGAAAUUAAUGUUUUUGUGAAGAAACAAAAAUAAAAAUGUAAGACGAGAAGACCCUGUCGAGCUUAAGAAAAUUCUUAUAUUAAAAAAAAUUUUUGUUAAACUAAAUUUUACUAAUAAAAUUAAAAAUAAAAAUAUCUUUGGUUGGGGCAACCACGAAGAAAAAAAAACCUUCGUUCAAAAAAAAAAAUAUACUAAUUUAAAAGCUUAAAAAAGAAAAAAGAUCCAGAAAUACUGAUCAAAGAAAAAAGUUACCGCAGGGAUAACAGCGUUAUUCUCUUUAAGAGCCCGUAUUGACAAGAGAGUUUGCGACCUCGAUGUUGGACCGGGGCAUCCAAGAGGUGUAGCAGCCUCUAAAGGUAGGUCUGUUCGACCUUUAAAGCCCUACGCGAUCUGAGUUCAGACCGACGCAAGUCAGGUCAGUUUCUAUCUACAACAAAAGAAGUUUUAUUAGUACGAAAGGAAUUUAAAACUAAAGUCAACUUUUCAAAAAGAACUUUAAAUAAAAUACUGAAAAAAAAUAAAGAAAAACUU
rnacentral:rRNA from 1 species